GGGGGGGGGGGGGGGGGGGGGGGGGGGGGGGAGGGGGGGGGGGGGGGGCGGGGGUGGUGGGGGAGGGGGGGGGAACACGUGGGAACGGGGCCUGUGGGUCGGAACAACUCAGGGAAACUUGAGCUAAGACCGGAUGUGCCCUGCGGGGGAAAGAUUUAUCGCCAUUGGAGCGGCCCGCGUCUGAUUAGCUAGGUGGUGAGGUAACGGCCCACCAAGGCGACGAUCAGUAGCUGGUCUGAGAGGAUGAUCAGCCACACUGGGACUGAGACACGGCCCAGACUCCUACGGGAGGCAGCAGUGGGGAAUCUUGCGCAAUGGGCGAAAGCCUGACGCAGCCAUGCCGCGUGAAUGAUGAAGGUCUUAGGAUUGUAAAAUUCUUUCAGCGGGGACGAUAAUGACGGUACCCGCAGAAGAAGCUCCGGCUAACUUCGUG
rnacentral:rRNA from 1 species